rnacentral:rRNA from 1 species
AUUGAACGCUGGCGGCAGGCUUAACACAUGCAAGUCGAGCGGGUUGAUGGUGCUUGCACUAUCACUUAGCGGCGGACGGGUGAUUAAUGCUUAGGAAUCUGCCUAAUAGUGGGGGACAACAUCUCGAAAGGGAUGCUAAUACCGCAUACGUCAUACGCGAAAAGGCAGGGGAGCACUUGUCACCUUGCGUUAAUCGCUGAGCCUAGGUCGGAUUAGCUAGUUGGUGGGGUAAAGGCCUACCAAGGUGACGAUCUGUAGCGGGUCUGAGAGGAUGAUCCGCCACACUGGGACUGAGACACGGCCCAGACUCCUACGGGAGGCAGGAGUGGGGAAUAUUGGACAAUGGGGGGAACCCUGAUCCAGCCAUGCCGCGUGUGUGAAGAAGGCCUUAUGGUUGUAAAGCACUUUAAGCGAGGAGGAGGCUCUUUUGGUUAAUACCCAAGAUGAGUGGACGUUACUCGCAGAAUAAGCACCGGCUAACUCUGUGCCAGCCGCCGCGGUAA